GUCAGCGGCUAUAGCACGUUGAAUACACCAUUUCCCAAUGAAUCACUGAAGGGAUGAAGUUAAGCAACGUCACGCGAGGUUAGUAUCCGGACGGGUGACCAUUUGGGAAAUUGCGUGCUGCUGGCU
rfam:Asian citrus Psyllid, Diaphorina citri - Florida Strain, whole genome shotgun sequence.